rnacentral:rRNA from 1 species
AAAUUGAAGAGUUUGAUCAUGGCUCAGAUUGAACGCUGGCGGCAGGCCUAACACAUGCAAGUCGAGCGGCAGCGGGAAAGUAGCUUGCUACUUUUGCCGGCGAGCGGCGGACGGGUGAGUAAUGCCUGGGGAUCUGCCCAGUCGAGGGGGAUAACAGUUGGAAACGACUGCUAAUACCGCAUACGCCCUACGGGGGAAAGGAGGGGACCUUCGGGCCUUUCGCGAUUGGAUGAACCCAGGUGGGAUUAGCUAGUUGGUGGGGUAAUGGCUCACCAAGGCGACGAUCCCUAGCUGGUCUGAGAGGAUGAUCAGCCACACUGGAACUGAGACACGGUCCAGACUCCUACGGGAGGCAGCAGUGGGGAAUAUUGCACAAUGGGGGAAACCCUGAUGCAGCCAUGCCGCGUGUGUGAAGAAGGCCUUCGGGUUGUAAAGCACU